rnacentral:SRP_RNA from 1 species
GGGAGGUUGGCCGUGGACGGACCACUCGCCAACCGGGUCAGGUCCGGAAGGAAGCAGCCCUAACGAGCGCGGUUCGGGUCGCUCGUCAGCCUCCCGCC